rnacentral:rRNA from 1 species
UACGGAGGGUGCGAGCGUUGUCCGGAAUCACUGGGCGUAAAGAGCGUGUAGGCGGCCUGGUAAGUCCGCUGUGAAAGUCCAGGGCUCAACCCUGGAAAUGCCGGGUGGAAACUGUCAGGCUCGAGUCCGGAAGAGGCGAGUGGAAUUCCUGGUGUAGCGGUGAAAUGCGCAGAUAUCGGGAAGAACACCGGUGGCGAAGGCGGCUGCUCUGGACCUGUCCGUGACGCCUCAGGCGCGAAAGCUAGGGGAGCGAACAGG